AAAUGAAGUGCCUGAAAUUAAAGGAUUAUUUUGAUGUAAUAAAUAAUGUUAUGCCCCAACCUCAUUUA
rnacentral:tRNA from 1 species